rnacentral:sRNA from 1 species
ACUGUAUUUUCGCUGACUCAUGCUGACUGCAGCCCCAGGAGGGCACGGGCUCACUGCCAACCCUUCGUGCCUCCCGGCUGGUUUCUGAGAUCAGCCACAGAGGUUGAACUUAUUUCCAGGGAAGAAGGGCGGGGAUGUCAGGGCUGGAGAGUGCCUGUGUCCUUCUGUGUGCAUUGGGCUCCUUCCUCCUUAAUUCUCUCAUUUCCACUUUUUAGGCUGAACUCCAGUGCACCCAGUUAGACUUGGAGCGGAAACUCAAGUUGAAUGAAAAUGCCAUCUCCAGGCUCCAGGCCAACCAAAAGUCUGUUCUGAUGUCGGUGUCAGAGGUCAAAGCAGUGGCUGAAAUGCAGUUUGGGGAACUCCUUGCUGCUGUGAGGAAGGCCCAGGCCAAUGUGAUGCUGUUCUUAGAGGAGAAGGAGCAAGCUGCGCUGAGCCAGGCCAACGGUAUCAAGGCCCACCUGGAGUACAGGAGUGCCGAGAUGGAGAAAAGCAAGCAGGAGCUGGAGAGGAUGGCGGCCAUCAGCAACACUGUCCAGUUCCUGGAGGAGUACUGCAAGUUUAAGAACACUGAAGACAUCACCUUCCCUAGUGUUUACAUAGGGCUGAAGGAUAAACUCUUGGGCAUCCGCAAAGUUAUCACGGAAUCCACUGUACACUUAAUCCAGUUGCUGGAGAACUAUAAGGAAAAGCUCCAGGAGUUUUCCAAGGAAGAGGAGUAUGACAUCAGAACUCAAGUGUCUGCCGUUGUUCAGCGCAAAUAUUGGACUUCCAGACCUGAGCCCAGCACCAGGGAACAGUUCCUCCAAUAUGCGCAUGACAUCACAUUCGACCCGGACACAGCACACAAGUAUCUCCGGCUGCAGGAGGAGAACCGCAAGGUCACCAACACCACGCCCUGGGAGCAUCCCUACCCGGACCUCCCCAGCAGGUUCCUGCACUGGCGGCAGGUGCUGUCCCAGCAGAGUCUGUACCUGCACAGGUACUAUUUUGAGGUGGAGAUCUUCGGGGCAGGCACCUAUGUUGGCCUGACCUGCAAAGGCAUCGACCGGAAAGGGGAGGAGCGCAACAGUUGCAUUUCCGGAAACAAUUUCUCCUGGAGCCUCCAAUGGAACGGGAAGGAGUUCACGGCCUGGCACAGUGACAUGGAGACCCCACUCAAAGCUGGCCCUUUCCGGAGGCUCGGGGUCUAUAUCGACUUCCCAGGAGGGAUCCUUUCCUUCUAUGGUGUAGAGUAUGACGCCAUGACUCUGGUUCACAAGUUUGCCUGCAAGUUUUCAGAACCAGUCUAUGCUGCCUUCUGGCUUUCCAAGAAGGAAAAUGCCAUCCGGAUUGUAGAUCUGGGAGAGGAACCCGAGAAGCCAGCACCGUGCUUGCUGGGGACUGCUCCCUAGACUCCAGGAGCCAUAUCCCAGACCUUUGCCAGCCACAGUGAUGGGAUUUGCAUUUUAGGGUGAUUUGGGGGCAGAAAUAACUGCUGAUGGUAGCUGGCUUUUGAAAUUCUGUGGGGUCUCUGAAUGAAAACAUUCUCCAGCUGCUCUCUUUUGCUCCAUAUGGUGCUGUUCUCUAUGUGUUUGCAGUAAUUCUAUUUUUUGAGACGGAGUCUCGCACUGUUGCCCAGGCUGGAGUGCAGUGGCGUGAUCUUGGCUCACUGCAAGCUUCGCCUCCCGGGUUCAAGCGAUUCUCCUGCCUCAGCCUUCCAAGUAGCUGGGAUUACAGGUGCCUGCCACCACACUCAGCUAAUGUUUUGUAUUUUUAGUAGAGAUGGGGUUUCACCAUGUUGGCCAGGCAGAUCUCAAACUCCUGACCUCGUGAUGCACUCACCUCGGCCUCCCAAAGUGCUGGGAUUACAGGCGUGAGCCACCGCGCCCUGCCUGUUUGUAAUAAUUUUUAGGCACCAAAUCUCCCUCAUCUUCUAGUGCCAUUCUCCUGUCUGUUCAGGUAAAUGUCACACUGUGCCCAGAAUGGAUGACCAGGAACCUUCAAGAGUGGCUGAAAAGAUUGCAGAGUUAUCAUAAUAAAUUGCUAACUUGUGUAUUUCCU